UGGCAGAGCUUGAGGCGCUCAGACAGCAGCGGGUGAGGGAGGACCUGCUCUCGGAUGCGGCGCAGCAGCUCGAUGCGGUACAGGAAGAAAAGCAUCCCGACAGUACAAUGCUGCCAACAGUGUUUCACCUUGAGAAUCGUGUGUUCAUGGUGACGAGAAAAGCCGCACAUUCGGCAUGUUGUCCAAAAAGCCGGGCAAACGCUCUGAACUGGGUCCAAUCAAACUUUUGACGCUGCGUAUCAAACACGACUCCAAAGGUGGACACAACGCGGUAGAAGUCUGCCUCCUCACGACGCGUCCACCUGAAAAAAGAUAAAAACAAAUACCCAUAAGGGAUCCAUCAGACAUCAGGGAGUUGGCCGUCAUCACUGGCGAAGCCUCUGGCAGAAACUGACCACCUUUGGCAAAAUAAGCUCUUCC